rnacentral:rRNA from 1 species
UCCAGACUCCUACGGGAGGCAGCAGUGGGGAAUAUUGGGCAAUGGGCGCAAGCCUGACCCAGCAACGCCGCGUGAAGGAAGAAGGCUUUCGGGUUGUAAACUUCUUUUAUCAGGGACGAAGCAAGUGACGGUACCUGAUGAAUAGGCCACGGCUAACUACGUGCCAGCAGCCGCGGUAAUACGUAAGUGGCAAGCGUUGUCCGGAAUUACUGGGUGUAAAGGGAGCGUAGGCGGGAAGCCAAGUCAGCUGUGAAAACUACGGGCUUAACCUGUAGACUGCAGUUGAAACUGGCUUUCUUGAGUGAAGUAGAGGUUGGCGGAAUUCCGAGUGUAGCGGUGAAAUGCGUAGAUAUCAGGAGGAACACCAGUGGCGAAGGCGGCUUACUGGACAGUAACUGACGUUGAGGCUCGAAAGCGUGGGGAGCAAACAGGAUUAGAUACCCCUGUA